UGGGGAAUAUUGCACAAUGGGCGCAAGCCUGAUGCAGCCAUGCCGCGUGUAUGAAGAAGGCCUUCGGGUUGUAAAGUACUUUCAGCGGGGAGGAAGGGAGUAAAGUUAAUACCUUUGCUCAUUGACGUUACCCGCAGAAGAAGCACCGGCUAACUCCGUGCCAGCAGCCGCGGUAAUACGGAGGGUGCAAGCGUUAAUCGGAAUUACUGGGCGUAAAGCGCACGCAGGCGGUUUGUUAAGUCAGAUGUGAAAUCCCCGGGCUCAACCUGGGAACUGCUUCUGAUACUGGCAAGCUUGAGUCUCGUAGAGGAGGGUAGAAUUCCAGGUGUAGCGGUGAAAUGCGUAGAGAUCUGGAGGAAUACCGAUGGCGAAGGCGGCCCCCUGGACGAUGACUGACGCUUAGGUGCGAAAGCGUGGGGAGCAAACAGG
rnacentral:rRNA from 1 species